CGGAGGGUGCAAGCGUUAAUCGGAAUUACUGGGCGUAAAGCGCACGCAGGUGGCUGAGUCAGUCGAUUGUGAAAGCCCUGGGCUUAACCUGGGAAUUGCAGUCGAUACUACUUAGCUAGAGUAUGGGAGAGGGCAGUGGAGUUCCCGGUGUAGCGGUGAAAUGCGUAGAUAUCGGGAGGAACAUCAGUGGCGAAGGCGGCUGCCUGGCCCAAUACUGACACUCAGGUGCGACAGCGUGGGGAGCAAACAGGAUUAGAUACCCUGGUAGUCCACGCCGUAAACGAUGAGAACUAGAUGUCGGGGGGGAUUAGCCCCUCGGUGUCGUAGCUAACGCGCUAAGUUCUCCGCCUGGGGAGUACGGCCGCAAGGUUG
rnacentral:rRNA from 1 species